rnacentral:misc_RNA from 1 species
GUUGAAGAACGUAGCGAAAUGCGAUAAGUAAUGUGAAUUGCAGAAUUCAGUGAAUCAUCGAAUCUUUGAACGCACAUUGCGCCCGCCAGUAUUCUGGCGGGCAUGCCUGUUCGAGCGUCAUUUCAACCAUCACGCCCCCGGCUUGUGUUGGGGACCUGCGGCUGCCGCAGGCCCUGAAAACCAGUGGCGGGCUCGCUAGUCACUCCGAGCGUAGUAAUACAUCUCGCUCAGGGCGUGCUGCGGGUUCCGGCCGUUAAAAGCCUUAUUUUACCCAAGGUUGACCUCGGAUCAGGUAGGAAGACCCGCUGAACUUAAGCAUAUCAAUAAGCGGAGGA